rnacentral:RNase_P_RNA from 1 species
CGAAGCGGCUCGGGGAUUCGCUCUUGGCGUCUUCGGGCGUCGGGAGAGGAAAGUCCGAGCACCACAGGGCAGGGUGCCAGGUAACGCCUGGUGGGGGUGACCCCGAGGAAAGUGCCACAGAGAGAAGUCUGCCGAGCCGGUCUCGCGAGAGGCCCGCGCGGUGAGGGUGAAAGGGUGAGGUAAGAGCUCACCGGGCCGGCGGUAACGUCGGUCGCAAGGCAAACCCCACUUGGUGCAAGACGAAAUAGGGGAGCGUUCGAGGGUGGCCCGCCCGAGCUUCCGGGUAACGUCGCACGAGGCCCGCGGUGACGCGGGUCCCAGAGGAAUGAGUCCCACCCACGUUUCGGCGACGGACGUGGGAACAGAACUCGGCUCAUGAGCCCUUCGGCCA